rnacentral:lncRNA from 12 species
GGCUCUCCCGGUCAGCCAGGAAUGCCUGGAAAAGAUGGAAUGAAAGGAGAAAAGGGUGAUGCAGGUGGAGCACCGGGACCGAUAGGCCCCCCGGGUCUCAAGGGUGAACCUGGUGAGCCCUGCUCUGUCGGAAUUUGCAAUGGGGAGGAGGUCGUGUCUGGCCUUCGGGGGUUGCGGGGCCCUAAGGGUGAACGAGGUGUUCCUGGAGUACCUGGAGAUGCUGGAGAGAAAGGAGAACCUGGGAUUGGAAUCACUGGACCCCCUGGUCUGAUGGGAACUAAAGGCGAACCAGGAAUUCAGGGUCCUCGUGGACCUGCAGGACAAGUUGGAGUGCAAGGAAUUAUGGUGAGAAAUGCUUUUAUUACUUUAAAUCCCAAAACUUGGAACAAGGUGAAAAUAUCAAAAUAUUUAUAUGUAAGAAUUAUUUUAUAUAAAGAAUACUUAAAUACCUUGAAUAUCCUUAUAUUCAUAUAUGUUUUUGUGUCUUAA